AUUUCUUGUAAGAGUAGACCAUAUCAUCACCCUUUAUAAGGGUGUUCGGCGUGUGGUCGUUGAGGGGUU
rnacentral:tRNA from 1 species